UUAAGCGACUAAGCGUACACGGUGGAUGCCCUGGCAGUCAGAGGCGAUGAAGGACGUGCUAAUCUGCGAUAAGCGUCGGUAAGGUGAUAUGAACCGUUAUAACCGGCGAUUUCCGAAUGGGGAAACCCAGUGUGAUUCGUCACACUAUCAUUAACUGAAUCCAUAGGUUAAUGAGGCGAACCGGGGGAACUGAAACAUCUAAGUACCCCGAGGAAAAGAAAUCAACCGAGAUUCCCCCAGUAGCGGCGAGCGAACGGGGAGCAGCCCAGAGCCUGAAUCAGUGUGUGUGUUAGUGGAAGCGUCUGGAAAGGCGCGCGAUACAGGGUGACAGCCCCGUACACAAAAAUGCACAUGCUGUGAGCUCGAUGAGUAGGGCGGGACACGUGGUAUCCUGUCUGAAUAUGGGGGGACCAUCCUCCAAGGCUAAAUACUCCUGACUGACCGAUAGUGAACCAGUACCGUGAGGGAAAGGCGAAAAGAACCCCGGCGAGGGGAGUGAAAAAGAACCUGAAACCGUGUACGUACAAGCAGUGGGAGCACGCUUAGGCGUGUGACUGCGUACCUUUUGUAUAAUGGGUCAGCGACUUAUAUUCUGUAGCAAGGUUAACCGAAUAGGGGAGCCGAAGGGAAACCGAGUCUUAACUGGGCGUUAAGUUGCAGGGUAUAGACCCGAAACCCGGUGAUCUAGCCAUGGGCAGGUUGAAGGUUGGGUAACACUAACUGGAGGACCGAACCGACUAAUGUUGAAAAAUUAGCGGAUGACUUGUGGCUGGGGGUGAAAGGCCAAUCAAACCGGGAGAUAGCUGGUUCUCCCCGAAAGCUAUUUAGGUAGCGCCUCGUGAAUUCAUCUCCGGGGGUAGAGCACUGUUUCGGCAAGGGGGUCAUCCCGACUUACCAACCCGAUGCAAACUGCGAAUACCGGAGAAUGUUAUCACGGGAGACACACGGCGGGUGCUAACGUCCGUCGUGAAGAGGGAAACAACCCAGACCGCCAGCUAAGGUCCCAAAGUCAUGGUUAAGUGGGAAACGAUGUGGGAAGGCCCAGACAGCCAGGAUGUUGGCUUAGAAGCAGCCAUCAUUUAAAGAAAGCGUAAUAGCUCACUGGUCGAGUCGGCCUGCGCGGAAGAUGUAACGGGGCUAAACCAUGCACCGAAGCUGCGGCAGCGACGCUGAUGCGUUGUUGGGUAGGGGAGCGUUCUGUAAGCCUGUGAAGGUGUACUGUGAGGUAUGCUGGAGGUAUCAGAAGUGCGAAUGCUGACAUAAGUAACGAUAAAGCGGGUGAAAAGCCCGCUCGCCGGAAGACCAAGGGUUCCUGUCCAACGUUAAUCGGGGCAGGGUGAGUCGACCCCUAAGGCGAGGCCGAAAGGCGUAGUCGAUGGGAAACAGGUUAAUAUUCCUGUACUUGGUGUUACUGCGAAGGGGGGACGGAGAAGGCUAUGUUGGCCGGGCGACGGUUGUCCCGGUUUAAGCGUGUAGGCUGGUUUUCCAGGCAAAUCCGGAAAAUCAAGGCUGAGGCGUGAUGACGAGGCACUACGGUGCUGAAGCAACAAAUGCCCUGCUUCCAGGAAAAGCCUCUAAGCAUCAGGUAACAUCAAAUCGUACCCCAAACCGACACAGGUGGUCAGGUAGAGAAUACCAAGGCGCUUGAGAGAACUCGGGUGAAGGAACUAGGCAAAAUGGUGCCGUAACUUCGGGAGAAGGCACGCUGAUAUGUAGGUGAAGUCUCGCGGAUGGAGCUGAAAUCAGUCGAAGAUACCAGCUGGCUGCAACUGUUUAUUAAAAACACAGCACUGUGCAAACACGAAAGUGGACGUAUACGGUGUGACGCCUGCCCGGUGCCGGAAGGUUAAUUGAUGGGGUUAGCGCAAGCGAAGCUCUUGAUCGAAGCCCCGGUAAACGGCGGCCGUAACUAUAACGGUCCUAAGGUAGCGAAAUUCCUUGUCGGGUAAGUUCCGACCUGCACGAAUGGCGUAAUGAUGGCCAGGCUGUCUCCACCCGAGACUCAGUGAAAUUGAACUCGCUGUGAAGAUGCAGUGUACCCGCGGCAAGACGGAAAGACCCCGUGAACCUUUACUAUAGCUUGACACUGAACAUUGAGCCUUGAUGUGUAGGAUAGGUGGGAGGCUUUGAAGUGUGGACGCCAGUCUGCAUGGAGCCGACCUUGAAAUACCACCCUUUAAUGUUUGAUGUUCUAACGUUGACCCGUAAUCCGGGUUGCGGACAGUGUCUGGUGGGUAGUUUGACUGGGGCGGUCUCCUCCUAAAGAGUAACGGAGGAGCACGAAGGUUGGCUAAUCCUGGUCGGACAUCAGGAGGUUAGUGCAAUGGCAUAAGCCAGCUUGACUGCGAGCGUGACGGCGCGAGCAGGUGCGAAAGCAGGUCAUAGUGAUCCGGUGGUUCUGAAUGGAAGGGCCAUCGCUCAACGGAUAAAAGGUACUCCGGGGAUAACAGGCUGAUACCGCCCAAGAGUUCAUAUCGACGGCGGUGUUUGGCACCUCGAUGUCGGCUCAUCACAUCCUGGGGCUGAAGUAGGUCCCAAGGGUAUGGCUGUUCGCCAUUUAAAGUGGUACGCGAGCUGGGUUUAGAACGUCGUGAGACAGUUCGGUCCCUAUCUGCCGUGGGCGCUGGAGAACUGAGGGGGGCUGCUCCUAGUACGAGAGGACCGGAGUGGACGCAUCACUGGUGUUCGGGUUGUCAUGCCAAUGGCACUGCCCGGUAGCUAAAUGCGGAAGAGAUAAGUGCUGAAAGCAUCUAAGCACGAAACUUGCCCCGAGAUGAGUUCUCCCUGACUCCUUGAGAGUCCUGAAGGAACGUUGAAGACGACGACGUUGAUAGGCCGGGUGUGUAAGCGCAGCGAUGCGUUGAGCUAACCGGUACUAAUGAACCGUGAGGCUUAACCUU
rnacentral:rRNA from 1 species